GAUGAACGCUAGCGGGAGGCCUAACACAUGCAAGUCGAACGGGAUUGGUAGCAAUACCAUGAGAGUGGCGCACGGGUGAGUAACGCGUAUGCAACCUACCUUUAACAGAGGGAUAGCCCAUAGAAAUGUGGAUUAAUACCUCAUAGUCCUGGUGAGCUGCAUGGUUUACCAGGUAAAGCUUUGGCGGUUAAAGAUGGGCAUGCGUGACAUUAGCUAGUUGGUGAGGUAACGGCUCACCAAGGCAACGAUGUCUAGGGGUUCUGAGAGGAUGAUCCCCCACACUGGUACUGAGACACGGACCAGACUCCUACGGGAGGCAGCAGUGAGGAAUAUUGGUCAAUGGGCGCAAGCCUGAACCAGCCAUCCCGCGUGCAGGAUGACGGCCCUAUGGGUUGUAAACUGCUUUUAUACAGGAAGAAAAAUCUCUACGUGUAGGGACUUGCCGGUACUGUAUGAAUAAGCAUCGGCUAACUCCGUGCCAGCAGCCGCAGUAA
rnacentral:rRNA from 1 species